rnacentral:lncRNA from 1 species
UGGUUAGAUAUUAUUAAUAAACGACCACAUUGUUCAGCUAACAAGUAUUGGAUUCACACCCCAAGCACAUCACUACUACUAAAUGAGUAGACGGGAAUCAACAAGUACAAGUGAUCAUCUUAGUAAAAGAGAAAAAAACAAAAAUGAUUUUUUGACGUCACAAAUCUAUUUGACACCUAAAAAGAUAAAGAUAUAUAAGAGAAAGAAAUGUAAGUAUACAUAUUAGAAAAAUUAAGAGAGAAAAAUUAGGAGUAUUAAUGAGCUGUUUAGAAUUAUAAGGUGUUCACAUAUUGGCGCUGAGAGUCAGUGACUCGUGUGGCGUAGUAUUUAGCAAUGAAAUCAGAGGCUUUUCUGUCAAUGCCAGG